rnacentral:rRNA from 1 species
GAGUUUGAUCGUGGCUCAGAACGAACGCUAUCGGUAUGCUUAACACAUGCAAGUCGAACGGACUAAUUGGGGCUUGCUCCAAUUAGUUAGUGGCAGACGGGUGAGUAACGCGUGGGAAUCUACCCAUCAGUACGGAAUAACUUUUAGAAUAAAAGACUAAUACCGUAUAUUCUCUACGGAAGAAAGAUUUAUCGCUGAUGGAUGAGCCCGCGUCAGAUUAGGUCGUUGGUGAGGUAACGGCUCACCAAGCCGACGAUCUGUAGCUGGUCUGAGAGGAUGAUCAGCCACACUGGGACUGAGACACGGCCCAGACUCCUACGGGAGGCAGCAGUGGGGAAUAUGGACAAUGGCGAAGG